GGUGGCUCAGUGGUAGAGCGCUUGCCUUGAAUGCAUGAGGCACAGGGUUUGAUUCCUCAGCACCA
rnacentral:tRNA from 1 species